CCUACGGGAGGCAGCAGUGAGGAAUAUUGGUCAAUGGGCGCAAGCCUGAACCAGCCAAGUAGCGUGAGGGAUGAAGGCCCUAUGGAUUGUAAACUUCUUUUAUAAGGGAAUAAAGUGCGGGACGUGUCCCGUUUUGUAUGUACCUUAUGAAUAAGGAUCGGCUAACUCCGUGCCAGCAGCCGCGGUAAUACGGAGGAUCCGAGCGUUAUCCGGAUUUAUUGGGUUUAAAGGGAGCGUAGGCGGCCUUUUAAGUCAGCGGUGAAAGUCUGUGGCUCAACCAUAGAAUUGCCGUUGAAACUGGGAGGCUUGAGUAUGUUUGAGGUAGGCGGAAUGCGUGGUGUAGCGGUGAAAUGCUUAGAUAUCACGAAGAACCCCGAUUGCGAAGGCAGCCUGCCAAGCCAUGACUGACGCUGAUGCACGAAAGCGUGGGGAUCAAACAGGAUUAGAUACCCUGGUAGUC
rnacentral:rRNA from 1 species